rnacentral:misc_RNA from 1 species
GGUCAUGCUUUUGAGGCAUUCAAAUUGGUUGUCAGUGAUCCAGAUUCAAUUCUUAAUUCCCUCACCCGUGAAAUUAAAGAAGUUGGCCCUGAUGGGAAGGAGGUAACUAAGGUUGCUCCUGCUUUAUCUGAGGAAGUUAAAGAUGCAUUAGUAAAGAAUAUUAGGAGAAGAAUGACUCCACAGCCAUUGAAGAUUCGAGCAGAUAUUGAGAUGAAAUGUUUUCAGUUUGAUGGUGUUCUUCACAUU